CCUACGGGAGGCAGCAGUGGGAAAUCUUGCGCAAUGGGCGAAAGCCUGACGCAGCCAUGCCGCGUGAAUGAUGAAGGUCUUAGGAUUGUAAAAUUCUUUCACCGGGGACGAUAAUGACGGUACCCGGAGAAGAAGCCCCGGCUAACUUCGUGCCAGCAGCCGCGGUAAU
rnacentral:rRNA from 1 species